AGUAGUAGUAGUAGUAGUAGUAGUAGUAGGUAGUUGUUGUUGUUGUUGUGGCUGUUGUAAUAGUAGUAGUAGUUUUGCAGAAGUAGUAGUAGUAGUAGUAGUACUAGUAGUAGAAGUAAUAGUAGUAACUUUCAAAGCAAUGUCUACAAGUUUAAAUUCCUUAACCCUGUUCAAGGUGUAUACACACUCAAUAUUUAACUACAGUCCAGGUUUGCAAUUAACAAACUAUCUGAGGUGCCUGUGUGUGAGUCAGAUGUGUCUGCGGCUAAUCUAUUGGUUAUAAAAUAUCACAGCCUUUUCUGAUUGGCUGAGUUCAAAUACAGAAAGUUUACCUGUUAGAUUGAAAUUCUGGAGAAGGCGUAUUGAAGAAAAAAUGCAGGUUAAACUUGUUGUUAAAAUGAAGUUAAUGUAAUUUCACAAACAGUAGAGUUUAACUUAAUGAGUUUUUCCAUUAACAAGAAUUUCUUAAAAUAAUAAUGUAUGGAUAUCAUUUGGAAAGUGACAUGAAAUGUUGUUAAAAAGUGAUGCAUACAAGUGUUUCAGAAGUCUGUCUAGGAAUAGAACAACAACUGAAGCUGACCAGUUGAUGGAAGAUACUGCAGAGUUUGGCAGGGAAAUAACCCAAGACAGCAAAGCGGCUCUUUUGGCGCAUUUACCAAGAGGACUAACAUGGCCACAAAUUCAUGAGAUCAUGCAGGAGCCGUACAGUAUAACAGCAGUACAAGUUCUAUAAAAGAUCCACGACCUACUGAAUUCCCAGCUAAUUAACAAAAAAGUUUUUAAAAACUGUAAUUUU